GUAAAAUCAAAACUGAUUUACAACUGUGUCAACUAUAUUCCUAAAAAUGCUCCAGAAUGCCAGUUUUCCGUAUUUGGUGUGGUGAUCGCAUCAUAAGGAAAUCGGUUGUGUCAGUAGCAGAAAUUGAAGAACUAAAGAAAAAAGCAACACAAAAACUCUGUUUGGAGUUGGUAGGACCUACGAAGUUAGUUCUAGAGAAAUGUGGUACAGAAGUGGACGACGAUGAGGUGUUGGAAGAAAUUGCUGAUGAAGUCUUAUUAUUGUUGGCUGAUGGACAAACUUAUACACCAUCUGUAGCUCAGCAAAUACCUGACUCUGCUCGAAGUUUGGUAGCAUGUACUACAGGCGAUGUACUUCAACCCAGCAGGAGUGCAAGUGACAACGAAGUGGCAAGCACAAGUUCAAGUGGGACAGAGGCAUAUGCCAGUCACAAAUCAUCUAAUACAUUAUCAUUGCCUCUGCCAGAACUCUCACGGGCAACCCGAGAUGACUUACAACAGGGAGAUAAAUCAAGACGGGUCUGGUUGCAGCUGAUAGAAGAAUCCAAGAACUACUACAUGAAGUAUUGCCCUCUGCUUGAUGAAAACCCUUAUGGGGCAUACAAGAUUAUUGGAGAGAAGAUGUUAGCUGCUUACCCUAGUAUCGAGAGGGAAGGGAAACAUAAAUGGAGCCAGUAUGCGAAAGCACUCAGUCAAAGUAUACGCACAGAGCGUUUUAGACGUAAAAGAAAA